CGACGACGGUGCAGAUUUCUCAUUUUCAAUCUACAACCGCUGAAAAGCAAACCGACGGUUCAGAUCUCUCCAAAAUCCUUUCCUCUACACGGCGUUUAUCCGGCUUAAUAACAAACCGAUGUCUUUCACGGCGUUAAUGAAUCUGACGACGCCGUUUGCUUACGGAAUCUUAUUAGUUAUAUGUCUGUAAUGUUUAAUUAAUUCAACAAAAGGAGGCACCCCAACGUGGGUUAAGAUCUGCUGUAAUAACUUCAGCCCACAUUAUUCGGGUAAUAGCUUCAGCCCAGCAGAGAGCAUUCAAUAUUUUCCAGAACCUUCUAGGGCUUCCUCUCGACUUAAGGGACGGUGUAAUGCAAGAUGUAUCAUUUCUUUAAGGCGCAUCUUCUAGAGCGCGACAUAUGAUUUCGACCUCUCCGAUCGCUGCAAAUCAAGCCUUUCCUGCUGCACCUCCCCCUCUGAAAUUCAAAUUAUUACUUGCCCGACGAUCAUCUGAGAGCUAUGAACCAAACAAAAUGCAAGGAGGCAGAGAUCUAUUCUUUCUGAUAAUGAGAAGAUGAAGAUGAACACGGGGAGGAGAAUUAAGAGAAAAAGAAUUAGCAUAUGUCUCAAAGAAAUGACAAUAACCAGACACGCUCAACAAGGAGUCAGUCCCACUCACAUGCUUCACUUUUCAAAGCUCUGUUGUUUCUUAUCGUGGUGAAAAUGGUGCCUGGCACAUAUCUUCUAGGAGCAAGUGGAAUCUUUUUGCCUGAAUUUUGUUGCUUCAUUUAUAUUUUUAGUCACUGUUGAAUCUGAUUCUCAUUCAAGUAUGUUGUAUAAUCUAGUUGACUUUUGACGAGUGCAAAGAAGCUAAUUAAGCUAUCUGCCAUGCAAUUCAGAGAAUUUCAAGAGGACUUCAUGACAAGGGCAUUCUGUUGCACUAGGAAUCUUCUUGGAUGGAGUGAAGAGCUUUCUAUUCAAGAUUCUAUGGGGUCUGAACAGAAGGCAGUCAGCACAGGACCUAAUAGAGGCGGCUGGGCACUCCCUCCUGUUGCUGCUGAAAGAGAAAAAAAUGUUGGAAAGUAUGGCCAUUUCUGAAAAGAAUGAAAACUGUAUCAUAAUGAUCGAUUGAACAAGCUCCACACCACAGGUCUAAAAGGAAGCAGCUCUAUCUGUCAAGCUGGUAAGCUUUAGGAACCUUCUAUUUCUCUCUACAUCCAUGUUACAUCUAUGAUCAAGUAGCUGCACGUGAUGAGGCAUUCAAUGGCUAAUAAGGAGAGGAGAGCAAUAUGCUUGUGGUGGUGUGUUUGAAUGCUAUGGACUGUACUGUAUAGAUAUAUGUAUAUAGGUCAUAAAUAUGUACUGAUUUUGGGUGAUAUAGUCUCUGAGAUUGCCCUCCUAUAUAGUAUCUUCAGCUAGUGGGCUUUGCUAGAAAGCCUUGUUUGGGAAUAUUUCUGCAAUAGGCUGUUUUAUUCCAUUCCCUCUGAACUAUCCAGGACAAAUAAUCUGGGAGGCGAGACAUGAUUAUUUGCCUGUUGUGAGCCCAGAGUGCUUAAGGUAGAGUCGGCACUUAUGGGUAUGGGUGGCGCAGAUACUUGGAGUGAAAUAGGCCAAUAAAGCUGUCUGCUCCGUUUGUGGGGUGGGGGGCUUGCAUUGCAUCCAUGUCUUAUUGUAAGCCCAAAGUGUUGUCUGCUCUUCCAUUAGGCCCAGGUGGUUAUAACGUCACCUGUAGGUUCGGGUCCAGAAUUUUGUCCGCUUCUUGAAGACAAUGAGAAAAGCUAGAAAAUGCCGGUGUGGGCAUAUGUUGUGGUCACUGUACAGCCGACAGGCCCAACCCAAUACAUUCCGCGGCAGUCCAAUAAUAUCGUUUGUUAAAUGCCCCACCGGCACAAUGUAUUAAAAUAGCCAAUGGGACCAGUGAAAUAGCGGUGCAGCCGAGCAAAAUAAUAGAGCAGAGGCCCAGAUCCUUGACCGUUAAUUGCCGCCGCACCCUGGAAAAUUGACGGCACAGGCCCGGUACUAUUGUCGGCAUAUUGGUGACAGGCCUAGAAAAAUGCAUAAUUUUUGUCGGCUUAGUGCCAACAUGUUCAUAAUUAUGCCGGCUCAUAGCUGACAGUCUCAGUCAAUUGGCGGCGCAGACCAAUUGGGCCAAUAAAUUGCAGCGCAGGCCCAAAACAAAUUGCAGUGCAGUACAAUUGGGCCAGCAAAUGGCAGUACAGGCCCAAACAAAUGACGGAGCAGGCCUAAGACAUUGUCGUUGUAUUGCCGACAGGUCCAAGAAAUUACGGCGCAGAUCAGAAUAAUGUCCGUGUAUUUUGGACAGCCAAACGGAUAAGUGUUGACAAUCUAGGAACAUGUCGAGCCUUGCCACUCUCUUGUCGGCUUAAUGCCGACAGCCCAGAACUUUGUCGGCCCGCGCCCAACAAAAUGUCAGACCAAGCCCACGGUGCAGGCCAAUUGGGCCAGUAAAUUGAAGUGCAGGCCCAAACAAAAGAUAGUGUAGGCAUGUAUUGUCAUUGAAUUGCCGACAGGCCCAGUAAAUUGACGGCGCUGAUCAGAAA